rnacentral:rRNA from 1 species
AUUGAACGCUGGCGGCAGGCCUAACACAUGCAAGUCGAACGGUAACAGGAAGCAGCUUGCUGCUUCGCUGACGAGUGGCGGACGGGUGAGUAAUGUCUGGGAAACUGCCCGAUGGAGGGGGAUAACUACUGGAAACGGUAGCUAAUACCGCAUAACGUCGCAAGACCAAAGAGGGGGACCUCCGGGCCUCUUGCCAUCGGAUGUGCCCAGAUGGGAUUAGCUUGUUGGUGAGGUAACGGCUCACCAAGGCGACGAUCCCUAGCUGGUCUGAGAGGAUGACCAGCCACACUGGAACUGAGACACGGUCCAGACUCCUACGGGAGGCAGCAGUGGGGAAUAUUGCACAAUGGGCGCAAGCCUGAUGCAGCCAUGCCGCGUGUAUGAAGAAGGCCUUCGGGUUGUAAAGUACUUUCAGCGGGGAGGAAGGGAUUGUGGUUAAUAACCGCAUUCAUUGACGUUACCCGCAGAAGAAGCACCGGCUAACUCCGUGCCAGCCGCCGCGGUAAGAC